UAUUGGCAAAAAAAAAUUAUACGUAUGUAUCUAUCACUCGGCCGCUCUCUGUCUCCGCUCGCAGGAGCCAGGCAGCCAGCGGUGGCCUCGAGCCCUCGAACGCAGCCGGCUCCAGCGCCCUCUGCCCAUGACCCCACGUCCCCUCUGGUCCCACCCACCUAAAAAAAAGAAAACCAACGACCCAGCCGCGACCACGCAGUCCAUGCUCCGUCCCUGCCCACUCUGUCCCUGCCCGAGACCCAAACCUAGCUAGCGCGGCGGGCCGGCGGCGGCGGCUUACCUGGCGCGAGGACCAAGCGGGCGCGGGCGGCGGAACCGCGGAAGGCUGGGGGCGGCGGCUCCAGUGGCGCAGCAAGCGACGGCAGCAACAAGCGGCGGCUUCAGCAGCAGCUCCGGUGGCGACUCCAGCGGCGCGGCGGCUUCAACGGCGGCUCCAGCAGAUUGCUAGAAGAUGGAAGGAAAGGGAAAGGGACUAGUAAAUCCAAAGAAAAGAGGAAGAGAUUUGAAAAAGUAUUUUGAAGUGCUUGGUAGUGGCAGCAGCUCACAAACAAAUCCAAGCACCCGCGAAAGUGUCAAUAUUUCAACAAAUGUCAAUGAUCAAGAUCAAGUGACUUCCAUGGAAGAAGAGCAUGAAAAUUUGAUGCCAACCGAACAAGUGGAAGAACAAACUACAGAUUCCGUCGAAGCUAUAGUGGAAGAGAAUAUUGAAGUUCACGGGGUUGAAGGUAUAACUAUUUUUAGUGAAGAUCACAUAAAUGGUGAUCCAGGCCUUUGCAUUCCACUUGAUAGUUUUGCCCCCAACAUUAGAGAUGAUGUUAGAUUUGCUUAUAUUCGAAUGGGUGCAACUCAACCAACUAGUUGCACUUUCCUCCCAAAUAGAGAUGGAAGAUGCUUCCGGCCACAAUGGUAUAAGGAUUUUGAGUGUUGGAAUAUAGUGUGGAUAAGCAUAAGGCAUAUUGCUUCUAUUGUUAUCUUUUUAAGCAUGACUGAAUGGAUGAUAAAUUUGGGCAUGAUGUUUUCUCCAAAUUGGGAUUUGACUGUUGGAAAAAUGCGGCUGCAGCAUUCCGUAAACAUGUUGGUGGGCCAUGUAGCAUCCACAAUAUUUCAAAAACAGCAUGUGAUGAUUUUAAAAAUCAAAGGGCAAGUGUGAAAAGUAAAGUUACAACUUACAGCAAAGGUUCACUAGUCAAGUAUGAAACUUGUGUGGAUACAUCUUUGGCCAUUGUAAGUUAUCUAGCAUUGCAAGGUGAACCAUUUCGUGGAUACGAUGAAUCCACUUCUUCUUUGAACAAGGGGAAUUUUUUGGAGCUACUUGAUUGGGUGAAAGAAAGAAUUCCAGAAGUGAAGGUUGCAUUUGAUGAGCUAUGCCCUAAGAAUGCCCAAAUGACUUCCGGAAAAAUUCAAAAAAUCCUUGUUUCUCAUUGUGCAAAUGCGGUCACCAAAGCAAUCAAAGUAGAUAUGGGUGAUUGUCUUUUCUCCGUUCUUAUUGAUGAGUGCCGUGAUAUAUCGGUGAAAGAACAAAUGGCCGUGGUUAUUAGGUACUUGAGCAAACAAGGAGAGACUAUUGAACGUUUUUUAGGUAUUAAGCAUGUCCCGGACACAACAUCUGCUUCUUUAAAGAAGGCAUUGUUGGAGGUUUUUGCUAAACACGGUCUAGUUGUUGCACGACUACGAGGGCAAGGGUAUGAUGGGGCAUCUAAUAUGAGAGAAGAAUUCAAUGGCCUUUAGAAGUUAAUUCGAGAUGAGAACCCAUAUGCUUUUUAUAUCCAUUGCUUUGCCCACCAACUGCAGUUGGUAGUUGUUGCUGUUUCGAGAUGCUGCAAGGGUGUUGAGGAUUUUUUUGAAUAUGUGACCAUGAUAUCUAAUCUCAGUACGUCAUCUUGCAAGAGGAAGGAUAAAUUGCUUGACAAGCAAAAACAGGUUCUUUUGGAUAAGAUUAGGGGAGGUGAGAUGCCCACAGGAAGAGGCAAAAAUCAAGAAACAUCCUUGGUCAGACCUGGAGAUACAAGAUGGGGCUCUCAUUACACAACCUUAUCUCGCAUUGAAUCAAUGUGGGAUGCAGUCAUAGAAGUUUUGGGCAUUGUUGAGGAUGAUGUGCGUGUUCCAUGUAGAGCAGGAGGUUUGGUUCAUCAAAUGGAGACUUUUAGCUUUGUGUUCAUCCUGAAGAUGAUGCUAAAGAUCCUUCGUAUGACAAAUGAUUUGUCUCUUCUAUUGCAAAAGAAGGAUCAAAAUGUUGUUCAGGUAUGUGAUCGAUCAUGUUAUAUGUAUCUACUUUGCUUGAUAUAUUUUGUUCAUGAAAACAUACAUGCAUCUAAAAUUGUAAUUAUCUCAUUUCAGGCAAUGUCAUUGGUUACGGAUGUCAGAACACAUUUGAUCAAUUGGAGAAAUGAUGGUUGGGAGCCACUCUUGGAAGAUGUCAAAGCCUUUUGCACCAAAAACGACAUUCCAAUACCAAAUAUGGAUGACAUGUUUACAAAGUGAGGAAAAUCAAGAAAAGGUGGACGAAACAAUGUCACAGCUGAUCAUUUUUUUCGUGUGGACACCUUCUAUGCUGCCAUAGACUCCAUCACCACAGAGUUUGAUCAUCGUUUCAAUGAGGUAUCUUCAGAGCUGCUCCAGAACUUCUCUUGUCUUGACCCAAGAAACUCCUUUUCUAGGUUCAAUGUGAAUAAGCUUGCUAGACUUACAGAGAUUUGUUGUGAGGAUUUCUCAGAUUAUGAACGUGAACAUAUAGUUGAUAACCUCUAGCUAUUCAUUAUCCAUAUGAGAAGAAUUGAAGAAUUUAGAGCUUGUCAUGAUAUUGCAAGCCUAGCUAAAAAGAUGGUUGAACUUGAAAGGCAUGUCAUGUUUCCUGCUGUUUAUCGCCUCAUUGAGUUGGCAUUGCUACUACCGGUAGCGAAGGCAACAGUUGAAAGAGCCUUCUCAUCAAUGAAAAUCAUCAAGACUGAGUUGCGCAGCAAGAUGUCUGAUGGCUGGCUUAAUGACUUGACGGUGUGUUACAUUGAGCGAGCGAUCUUCAAAAGUAUUGAUCUUGAUAAAAUUAAGAAAGAUUUUCAGAAGGAAGGUAGGGCACUGCCAUUGCCUGGGUCUUCUACAUGCCAUUAAAAACUUCAUUAUCGGUAUGUUUUAGGUUGUUUUCCUAU